GCCCAGCGAUUGGAGAGCUGCGCCGGCCACGCCGAGGAUUCAUUAGUCAAGCAGCCUGCCCGUCACCAGGAGCUAGCACUCCAUUGGAGAAUAUUACUUGGCAAUCAAAUAAGACCCCACCUCUAAGGCGGGGCAUUGAGCCAAAUUCUCAAAUCCCGGUAGGGGAAAUCAGUCUGUCAAUCAACACACGUCCCACCUCCUCUCAAGUCUUUAGGUAACAAUACUGCCACGCUGUGACGACAUUCCUGCUUCUCCCCCGCCUACGGGCGGGCCCGUAAAGUAUAUGAUGCUCGGUGAUUGGCCGCUGGCUAGGCGAGCGGAAAGGACCAAUCUUCCGAUCGCCUCGCCGCAGUGGCCCAUUCUGAGGUGCCGAUUGGCUGGCGAGAUUAGAAGGGCUGACACUCGUUUCCUGACAGGUGAACCUUGCCCCCGAACGGACUGCGGGCUUCCAGCAAGGGAAACCCGAGGUCACAUGACUAGUCCUUAGGGGGCCGCCAUCUUGAUACUACUGGUUGCCAACUAAUGAGCUGUUGGAAGGCAGAGGAUAGAAACUUUGGCGCGGUUUCUGGAAACUGGUCUCCUGACUAGGAAAGCACCAGUAAAUGGGAUGUUGCUGGCCAUGGAGGGUUCCGAAUGGAGCUCUCCAGGAGAGAGCUUACUUUUCCCAUUCAGGUUACUGGCACCACCAUCCACUAGGUCUCCCAAACCAGAAAGCAGGGAGGAAUCAUCACUGCAGAGGUGUGAGAGCUUGGAGAUGAGAGGCCAGAUCCCAUUUAUAUUUGCGUCUCCAACGUGAGGCAGUAUGCCUAGCACAUAGAACAGGAUCUUGGAGCAGAGUCACAGUUGCUUAAAAUUUCACUGAAAAUUAUUUCAUCAGCCAUCUCAGCUUCAGUGGACUGGGAGAAGUAAAUUGAGCACGGAAGAUAAGCUCUAAGAGGUUGUGAGUUCCCUGGAAGAAAAGUCUUUUCUACUGAUCUUAACCUAAUCAAGAUUUGCAAGUUUUAUUGGUACCUAAUUUAAACUAAGUAAGCCAAUUAAAGAAAUGUGAUUUUUUAAAUAACGCUUUUGAAUCCUAAUUUUGUUGAGCACUUGAUUUUGUAACAGGCACUAUCCUAGACUCCUUAUUAUAUUAUCUCACUGACUUCUCACAAUAACCCUAUGAAGUAAAUAUUUCCAAAACUAUAACCUUUUUGGGGACGAGGAAAGAGUGAAGUAAAUUGCCCAAGUCAUGCAACUAAUUAGAAGUGAACAGGGAAUUCAAAGCCAGCUUUACAACUAAGAUCAAAAUUACUGUAAAGUUUCCUUUAAUAUACAAAAAUUACAUCAUGUAUGAUGCUGAAAUUGGAAAAAGACUAAAGUCCAACAAUAGACAAAUGAUUAGGCAAAUUAUAGUUACAUCCAAAGAUUAUUAUGCACCUAUUAAAAGGUUUACACACAGUGUAUGAUAACAUGAAAAAAUAAUUGUGUUAGGCCAAAGUAGUGGAAUGUAAAAUUGUAUAUAAAGUAUGAUUAAAAUUAUGUCUGAUUUUUUAAAAAAACAACUUGGGCAUUGGGGAAAAAGAGGAACAAGAACCAGUACAAUCUUUUCUUUGGCAGUAUGUACCAAAAGCUUUCAAAAUGUUGAGAUGCUUAACCCAGUAACUGUAUUUCCUAUGAUCUGCUCUAAAAAAUAAUCUAAAAACUGAAGAAACAUUUGAGAACAAAGAUGUUCAGCAAAGUAAAAAAACGUAAACAACUUGAAUGUCCAAGUGAGCAUUUUCAGGAAAAUUAUUGUACACACAUAGAUGUAAUUUUAUGUAGUCAGUAUGCCUUCAAAACACUUUUAAUGACAAGGAAAAAUGUUUGCAAUAUGAUGGUAAGCAGAAUUGCAGUAGACAAAAUUGUAUAUACAGUAUGAUCAUAAACUAUAAGCACAGAUAAAAGCCUGGAAAGAAAUAUGCCAAAAUGGUUGGGUUGGCCCUGUGGCCUACUGGUCAAGUUUGGCAGGCUCUGCUUCAGCGGCCUGGGUUCAGUUCCCAGGU